rnacentral:pre_miRNA from 1 species
GUGUGUUCGUGUGUUGAUGGUGUUCAGCACCAAGGACAUGUGUGUUCGUGUGUUGAUGGUGUUCAGCACCAAGGACAGAUGUGUUUGGGC